ACGGGUGAGUAACGCGUGAGCAAUCUGCCCUUCGGAGGGGGACAACAGCUGGAAACGGCUGCUAAUACCGCAUAAUGUAUAUUGACGGCAUCGUCGAUAUACCAAAGAUUUAUCGCCGAAGGAUGAGCUCGCGUCUGAUUAGCUAGUUGGUGAGGUAAUGGCUCACCAAGGCUGCGAUCAGUAGCCGGACUGAGAGGUUGAACGGCCACAUUGGGACUGAGAUACGGCCCAGACUCCUACGGGAGGCAGCAGUGGGGAAUAUUGGGCAAUGGGGGCAACCCUGACCCAGCAACGCCGCGUGAAGGAAGAAGGCUUUCGGGUUGUAAACUUCUUUGACGAGGGACGAAAAAAAUGACGGUACCUCGAAAACAAGCCACGGCUAACUACGUGCCAGCAGCCGCGGUAAUACGUAGGUGGCAAGCGUUGUCCGGAUUUACUGGGUGUAAAGGGCGCGUAGGCGGGACUGCAAGUCAGAUGUGAAAUGCUGGGGCUUAACCCCAGAGCUGCAUUUGAAACUGUAGUUCUUGAGUAUCGGAGAGGCAGGCGGAAUUCCUAGU
rnacentral:rRNA from 1 species